rnacentral:rRNA from 1 species
GUGGGGAAUCUUGCGCAAUGGAGGCAACUCUGACGCAGCCAUGCCGCGUGCAGGAAGAAGGCGCUACGCGUUGUAAACUGCUUUUAACCGGGAAGAAACCCCAGGACGUGUCCUGGGUUGACGGUACCGGAGGAAUAAGCACCGGCUAACUUCGUGCCAGCAGCCGCGGUAAUACGAAGGGUGCAAGCGUUAUCCGGAUUCAUUGGGUUUAAAGGGUGCGUAGGCGGAGCGUUAAGUCAGUGGUGAAAUCCUGCAGCUUAACUGUAGACUUGCCAUUGAUACUGGCGCUCUUGAGUGCGCUUGAAGUGGGCGGAAUGUGCCGUGUAGCGGUGAAAUGCUUAGAUAUGGCACAGAACACCAAUUGCGAAGGCAGCUCACUAAGGCGAUACUGACGCUGAGGCACGAAAGCGUGGGGAUCGAACAGGAUUAGAAACCCGAGUAGUCC